CAAGCAAAGAUAAUUGUUUUUCAAAACCAGGGGAUCCCCUGAGGUGCCCAGCAGUGCUUCCAGACUGCACAGUGAGGAUAAAUCAGAAACAACAGCAGCUCAAAGGAGACAGGAUGAGUGAAGCCUCAGUCCUCCCAGAAAUGAAGCGCUGACCUAUGCCAGCCAGGGAAGAAUUCCAGGAAGCCAAGGUUCUAGUCAAGCUGUCCCUUAGCAACCAGCAGAGUGCCAACACUUGAGAACAGGAGUGAGUCCUCUUCCUUCCCGCUUUCACGACCACAUGUUUGCAUAUGGCAGGUGCUUAGACUAGAUCCAUUGGACAGAAUCAAAGCUUUUUUUUUUUUUUUUAUCUGUGGCUACACUUUUCCAGAGAGUCUGCUCCACUGCCUCUUGGAAUAUUUUCAAGAUUCCAGAGGCUAAAAAUAUCAUCCCAAAGCUAUUGAAGGACUCUUCCAUGUAAGGAGCCGAGUUGAGACUAUGGAAGCUGAAAGUUUAUGACCACCAGGUGGCGCCCUAACCCACACAUCUCCGGAUGCCUUUUUAAGAUGGAAGCAUUCUCUUCUCUUCCUCCUGUUGUCUCCCUGCUCACAGAAAUGCCCUCUUCAGUCCAGCAGCCGGAUUCAGCUGCUAGACCCUAGUCAAGGGCACUAAGUACAUCCCUCCAGGUGCUUCUGAGAUAGGAUCAGAAUGUGCAGGUUUGGAUUCCAGCAUGACACAGACUGUUUCUUUGGGCAAAUCACUUUUCUGGGUCCCUGCAAGAAUAGAAAACAAAACACAGAUAAUACGUAAAAAUACCUGGAUUGUAGAGGUGGAGUCAGCUCCAUCCGGGUCCUCCUGAGUCUCCAGCAGCUCCUGGAACAUGGUUAGCAAUUUCAACCUUCUGAGUCUGCUGUCCCUGUCAGUGAGUGGAUCAGCGCUAAGAACAAGUAUUCCACAGUGUUGGUAACUAACCAUCAACUGGAACAGUAAAUACAACUUCUUGCCACAGGGCCGAACACAGUAAACAUUCUGUUCCCCAAACCACA